CAACAUUUGAAGAUGUAUUCCCUGCUGAGGCUACAAGCGUUGAAGAAUACUUGCAACAGGUUCAUGAAAUGGCAAUGGUUUCGGCCAUACAGGAAGCUCAGAAGGAUAACCUAAGAAGCUUUAAUGAUUACAUGAUGAAAGUUUUGGAGGAAGAUUGGCAAAAAGAGAAACGUGACUUUCUUCAGAGCUUGAGCCGGAUUUCAACAUUGCCCAGGACUAAUGCAGUUAAUACAAGUAC
rnacentral:misc_RNA from 1 species